ACCACAGACAUGCAAUUCCGGUAC
rnacentral:siRNA from 1 species